GUGGCGGAUGGGUGAGUAACGCGUGAGGAACCUGCCUUUCACAAAGGGAUAGCCUCGGGAAACCGGGAUUAAUACCUUAUGAAACUGUAGUAGCACCUGCUACAUCAGUCAAAGAUUUAUCGGUGAAAGAUGGUCUCGCGUUCCAUUAGCUAGUUGGUAAGAUAAAAGCUUACCAAGGCAACGAUGGGUAGCCGGCCUGAGAGGGUGAACGGCCACACUGGAACUGAGACACGGUCCAGACUCCUACGGGAGGCAGCAGUGGGGAAUAUUGCACAAUGGAGGGAACUCUGAUGCAGCGACGCCGCGUGAACGACGAAGGCUUUCGAGUCGUAAAGUUCUGUCCUUGGGGAAGAUAAUGCCGGUACCCAAGGAGGAAGCCCCGGCUAACUACGUGCCAGCAGCCGCGGUAAUACGUAGGGGGCGAGCGUUGUCCGGAAUUAUUGGGCGUAAAGGGUUCGCAGGCGGCCUAUUAAGUCAGAUGUGAAACCCUAGG
rnacentral:rRNA from 1 species